AUUUCCGGUUUGAAUUUUUUAACGCCGCCCUACAUUACAAGCAGGUAAACAGUAAUUUGUUUAAUUACUCAACUAGAUCCGCUGCUUAACUUUGACUGCAUUAGUUAGCCUAGGACGGCAAUUAGUCUAAUCAAAGUUGAAACAGCCCCGACGUCCGCUGUUGUCUCAGGGUACUGCUGGUGAGACGAAGAACGGUCUGUAGUGUGUGGCUGUUGACACUGGAAAAAAUGACUGCCUGUCCUGAAGAUUUAAAAAAAACACAUCGACAUGGAUUUUGAUAACAACGAUAGCAACAUCAAAGAUGAGCUUGAGCUAUUAAUUUUGACAGUCCUCCCUCUGACAAUUAUAAUUUUUUUGGCCAAAGCUAUUUCUGACCUGGUCAACUACAAUCUUCUCUAUUUGUUGAGCGGAGUGUUUACUAUCAACCCCAUUUUCUUCUACUGGAAAAUUGCUAUUGUAGUGUUUUUGGUUCUGCUUCAAGUACACGAACGGUUCAGGGAAAACAUCUGCAAGUAUCUGGAUGACAUUAAUGACAUUUUGUGAGGAGCAGUUGAAAACAGCCCCGACGUCCGCUGUUGUCUCAGGGUACUGCUGGUGAGACGAAGAACGGUCUGUAGUGUGUGGCUGUUGACACUUGCUGAGCGCCUCCCCCCAAAGUUCACAAACGGCAAUAUGGAUUCGGACAGUAAUGAACCCAGCAUCUUUUUGAAGGCGACCGUUCAAUUUUUUCUCGGCUGUGCCCUCUACGGGCUCACCAUAACUAUAACAGAUUAUACAACUCCACCCCUUAAAGAAGCUCUGAAGUACUUUAUAAAGUCAGAUAUGAUAUACUGGACCAACUUUACAAUAACGUGCAUCCUUCUAAUUGCUUUACUUCUGUGGAUCUUUCAGAUUGUAGAGAGGCUUCUGCAGGAUGGUUUCCAAGAAAGAACUUUGGAGCCGCAAGGUUUUACAGCGCAAGGCAAUCCAAGUCAAAGGCAAGGCUGACGUUUUCUUGGAUGGGUAUUGUUAAAUCAAUCUGGAACACCUCUGCCCUUUAGUAAUGUGGAUCUUGUCUAGGGGAGAUUGUGUCCGUCUUCUGGAAGAUCUUAUCCAUUUCCAGGGAAGAUCUUUUGGGGAGCUCUUAUGUUCUUUUUGGGUAGCUUUUGUCCGCUUUCUGGGGAGAGAUCUAGUCCAUCUUUUGGGGAGAUCUUAUGUUCUUUUUGGGUAGCUUUUGUUUGCUUUCUGGGGAGAGAUCUAGUCCAUCUUUUGGGGAGAUCUUAUGUUCUUUUUGGGUAGCUUUUGUUUGCUUUCUUGGGAGAGAUCUUGUCCUUCUUCUGGGGAAAUCUUUUGUUCUUUUUGGGUAGCUUUUGUCUGCUUUCUGGGGAGAGAUCUAGUCCAACUUUUGGGGAGAUCUUAUGUUCUUUUUGGGUAGCUUUUGUCCGCUUUCUGGGGAGAGAUCUAGUCCAUCUUUUGGGGAGAUCUUAUGUUCUUUUUGGGUAGCUUUUGUUUGCUUUCUGGGGAGAGAUCUAGUCCAUCUUUUGGGGAGAUCUUAUGUUCUUUUUGGGUAGCUUUUGUUUGCUUUCUUGGGAGAGAUCUUGUCCUUCUUUUGGGGAGAUCUUAUGUUCUUUUUGGGUAGCUUUUGUUUGCUUUCUGGGGAGAGAUCUAGUCCAUCUUUUGGGGAGAUCUUAUGUUCUUUUUGGGUAGCUUUUGUUUGCUUUCUUGGGAGAGAUCUUGUCCUUCUUCUGGGGAAAUCUUUUGUUCUUUUUGGGUAGCUUUUGUUGAAGUAGAAGAUAAAUUUUGUAGCAAACAUACAAAGUCCAUACUACUUUAGCUUUACCAACAUCUAUCAUUGUAAAUUUUAGCGGUCUGAAAGUAUUUUCUAGUCUUAAAAUGUCUGGAGUUAUUUGUAUCAAAUUACAUUGUUUAUAUUUCCAAUUAUAAAAAAAAACUGUUUUAAAAACUCAUGGUAAAUCAUGCCCAUUGUUACAGAUUUUUUAAUGUGGUUUUCCUCACUAUAAAGUUUUUAAAAUAAAUGACUCCUCAUGCCUUGUAUACAAAGGUGGCACCAUGGGAAUCAUAUCACCGUCCUCAAACUCAAAGCACGCUAUCCGGUCUAUUACCUAUCUAUGAUCAUUUAAAAUUUUCCCUCCCAAAUCAAAAUUAUGCUCAAUGGUAAAGAUAAUUUUAAGAUAACAUCACAGUGUAACAUUUUAAAAUCUCGAAACGGUAUAACAUCGAUGUUGACAUAAUAGAUUCCUGCUCUGAUAAAUUUCUAUAAAUUACAUCUCAAAUUUUUUUGUAUAAUUAUAAAAAAAAAAAUGAAUGGAUGAAACUUGUUUCUUGAUAUAUAUAUAUUAAAGCUCUA